rnacentral:rRNA from 1 species
AUUGAACGCUGGCGGCAUGCCUUACACAUGCAAGUCGAACGGUAACAGGUCUUCGGAUGCUGACGAGUGGCGAACGGGUGAGUAAUACAUCGGAACGUGCCCGAUCGUGGGGGAUAACGAAGCGAAAGCUUUGCUAAUACCGCAUACGAUCUACGGAUGAAAGCAGGGGACCGCAAGGCCUUGCGCGAACGGAGUGGCCGAUGGCAGAUUAGGUAGUUGGUGGGAUAAAAGCUUACCAAGCCGACGAUCUGUAGCUGGUCUGAGAGGACGACCAGCCACACUGGGACUGAGACACGGCCCAGACUCCUACGGGAGGCAGCAGUGGGGAAUUUUGGACAAUGGGCGAAAGCCUGAUCCAGCCAUGCCGCGUGCAGGAUGAAGGCCUUCGGGUUGUAAACUGCUUUUGUACGGAACGAAAAGACUCUGGUUAAUACCUGGGGUCCAUGACGGUACCGUAAGAAUAAGCACCGGCUAACUACGUGCCAGCAGCCGC